rnacentral:misc_RNA from 1 species
AAGUCGUAACAAGGUUUCCGUAGGUGAACCUGCGGAAGGAUCAUUAACACGUAUCCACGUUAUCAACCAAUUGCGAACUUGUUUUCACGUCUCCCUUUGCUAUUUGAAUGAAUUGGAACCAGUUUGAGGGAAUGAUGUGGGUUGUUCAUUAACUUGUUCAAUCGGCCUUCCUGGUACACUAAUGACUGCGAAAGCUUUGUUCAUUGACAAUUGAAUCGAUAUAGCUCAAAGGCAAAAUUUCUUUCGUCAUUUUGAUCACACAUCUGAUCAAUAAAAUGGCGAAGGAGAAACCCAUUAUAAACUAUUUUCACCACCUUUUUGCUAGUUGACUUUUUAUCUGUGAUCGUUUUGCUUAAUUGCAAUGCAGUCGCACGUUUAAUUACUUGAACGUUAAAAUAUACAACUCUUAGCAAUGGAUAUCUUGGUUCUC